rnacentral:rRNA from 1 species
UUGAGCGAAACUUAGAAAAGANACCCACCAGUUCGGAUUGCAGGCUGAAAUUCGCCUGCAUGAAGCCGGAAUUGCUAGUAAUGGCAGGUCAGCAUACUGCCGUGAAUACGUUCCCGGGCCUUGUACACACCGCCCGUCACACCAUGAGAGUUUGUAACACCCAAAGCCGGUGGGUAACCUUUUGGAGCCAGCCGUCUAAGGUGGGACAGAUGAUUGGGGUGAAGUCGUAACAAGGUAGC